UUCAAACGCAAUUGAAGACACGGAUGUUUUUGUCAUGGUUCCGAUAGGUGGUGCUAUUGUACAUCCACGUUGAUGAAGACUUCAACCCACGAAAGGUAAUGAUGUCUACUACACAACCUUCUUCUUGUAGACGUAGUUGGGCCUGCAAGUGGACAGGUUUGUAGGACAGUAGCAAUGUGACGCCCUCGAUUCAAUCGUACACUAAUCAUACACGCAAAUGUGUACGAUCAAGAUCAAGGACUUACGGGAAGAUAUCACAACACAACUCUAGACACAAAUUAAAAUAAUACAAGCUUUAUAUUACAAGCCAGGGGCCUCGGGGGCUCGAAUACAAAACCUCGAUACACAAGAGUCAGCGGAGCAACAAUAUCUGAGUACAGACAUAAGUUAAACAAGGAUGCCUUAAGAAGGCUAGCACAAAAGUAACAACAAUCGAAGAGGCAAGGCCUCCUGCCUGGGACCUCCUAACUACUCCUGGUCAUCGGCGGUCUUCAUGUAGUAGCAUCCAUCGGCGGUGGCAUCUGGCUCCAGGGAUCCACCAUCUGGUUGCGUCAACCGGAAAGAAGAAAGAAGGGAGGGGGGAAGGGGUAGCAAAGCAACCGUGAGUACUCAUCCAAAGUACUCGCAAGCAUUAGAUCCAUACUAAGUAUGCACUGGUAUCAAAUGGAAGUUUUGUAUAUGUGGACUGAACUGCAGAAUGCCAGAAUAGGGGGGAAGACCUAGCCUAUCGAAGACUAGCAUCUUCACACAGCUCCGAGCAUCUUGCAGCAUGUAGAAGCAUAAAGAAUAGCAGUUUAUAAUUAACAAGCAUGUUGUAACAUUAAUGCCCAGAGAUCCUUCCUCGACUCCCUGCGAGAAAGCAAUCCCGGAGCCACAUAUCUCAAGUAUCCAUUUGUAGUUGUAUAAGAUCAGGAUAUAAGUCUGAACGUCCAUUUCCAUGGACACGGUAUUCAAAUAUAUAACUUCCCUGCAGGGGUGCACCACGUUACCCAACACGCUCGAUCACUCUGGCCGGACACACCUUUCUGGGGUCAAUGCCCGCCCUUGGAAGAUCAACACGUCGCAGCCCGACCUAGGCUCAGCAGAGAGGUCCCCGCUGGUCUACAUCCUAAGCACUCCGGGAUCUUGGGCCCAUCGCCCGCAGCACUCCGGGUCGUUGCGCGCAGGGUGAAUACCAGCACCGCCUCGGAUGGCCAGCACGAUCCGACCGUGCCGCACUGCUGAACUGGACGUCUGACAAAGCUUCGACUGAUACUGCAACGUCGAGGCCCAUAUCUAUUCUCGCGUGGUGGUUAGUGCGUCAAGGCCAAAGGCCAACUCAGAACAAAUACCCAAACCAUAGUGUAUUAUUAGCUUGCGGAGACGAGCAGAGACUCACAAUCGAAAGUGACCCCGUCGCCCCGUCUCGUGGACUUACGACAAGGGCCUAGAAUGCCCGGCCGUGCCACGUCACUAUCUUGCGGGUGCUCUUCGGGCCUGCCCGACUUUGACAAGGUCUCAAGUAAAGUCAUUGUAACUGUGUGUCCAGACAUCAAGGGGAAAACCCGAGGAAUCACCCCCGGUGGAUUCCACUCAAUGUAAUCAUCAAGGUGAACGUAAGAGGGACAACCCUCGAGGUUCACACUUGAGGUGUUGAACGACAGAGCCGUAUCGGGAAUGGUGAAAGAGGAAAUCACCCUCGAUGACCACGACCGAAUAGCUACACUACAGAAUUAUCAUCAGGAGUGCGCUAUGAGGGAUCACCCUCGGCACUCGAUAGUAGCUCUGCAGAGUCGAGCAACUAAAGGGGCGUGAUGUGAUGUGAGGUGUCGGGCUCUGGUCGUCGAUCACGUCGAUCGAGGUGUCGAUGAUGAAGCAGGGGCAACAAGGACAAGUGGGGGGCACUGAUGGAUCAUUAGCCAACCUAUACUAAGCAGUUUAGGAUAAGAAGGUAGGUAACAAUAAGCAGGUACAAAAGCAGGCUAUGCAUCAGAAUAGAAGCAAACAAUAACAGUAGCAAAAUCUAAUGCAAGCAUGAGAGUAUAGAAUGGACGAUAUCGGAAUGAUCAAAGGGGAGGGGGGCUUGCCUGGUUGCUCAGACAAGAAGGGACGUCGUCGACGUAGUCGAUCACAGGGACAUCAACAUCGGUCUCGGGGUCUACCGGACAGAAGAGGGGGAAGAAACAGUAAAUACAUAGCAGGCAAGUGCAUAACAGGACAACAGACAGAGCUAGACGUGUUCUAACGCAGCGCUAUGUGAUACUGGCGAAGGGGAAACAUCCGGAAAAGUAUUCCCGACUCCGGACGUCUGUCAGACAGAUGAACCGGAGGGAAAAAGUUCAAUGUUUGCUAUGCCAGAGACGUGUGGCGGGCGAACGGAUCGCGUGUUCAGAUUCGUCUCGUCAUUCUGAGCAACUUUCAUGUAAAAAACAUUUUUAUUCGAGUUACGGUUAAUUUUCUAUUAAUUUACAAAGAUUUACUGUUUUAUGAAAUUUCCUGGAAUUAAAUAAUAAUUCGAGUUGACCAAGUCAAAAUGACUGGUUAAAAGGGGAGGGUGUGGCCCACAUGUCAUAGGCAGCACCUAAACUAUUCUAAUUAAUUAGAUUAACUAGCAUGGGGCCACUAGUCAUAGGUUAGCAACUAACCUAAACAAUAUUUAAUCGAACUAAUUGAUGAUUAGAGCUAAUCUAAUUUGGGCUAGCCCCUUGUGGCAGUGGCCCAGCCGUGCCACUGUGUGGAUGUGCAUCACGCACAAGCAAACGCAUGCACAUGGCCAUGGUCGUGGCAUGGCCAGGAUGCGGCAAGCGUGGCGCCGGGGCCACAGCUAGCAAGUACGAGCGGCGGCGUUAGUGGGAAGCAGCGGCGGCAUCAGCAAGGAGUAGCAGGCAAUAGCAGCGGCAAGCUGUAGCACAACAACAUUCAGCGGUAGCAAGCAUCGGCAACAAUAGCAGAGAGCAGCACCCAAAGCAUCACAACAGUAGAAGCAGCAAGUAGAGCAACGAAGCAGCGAGCAGCCGCCGCGGUUGACGAGCAGCAACAAGUCGUGGUGAGGCUACGCACGGGCACGCGUGCACAGCAGCGGCAGCAACAGCUCAGGAGCAGCAGCCACACGCACACAUGUACGCGUACGCAGGGGUUCGAGCACGAUGGUGAUGGCGGCCUACGGCGUUCAAAUCGAAGGGGAGGAAAGGGGGAAUCAGUGGAGGGCCUCACUGCAAGCGCGACGGCGUGGUUGGGGAGGCCGGGGAGGUCGUGGUGGUGUAGAUCGACGGCGACGACGACGAGGCAGUGGCGGCCGAGGCGGGGAAGACGGCCAUGGCGAUGGCUACGCGGUGCCCCAGUUGAAGCGGCACCCGUAACGGACGAAGACGACCAUGGAGGACCUUCUAGACGUGCUCCCGAGUGACGGCGUCGACGGUGGCCGCGGUAACGACAGCGAAGAGCUCGAUCACCGCGGAGCUUUUGAGCUCGAAUCAGAGAGGAAGAGGAGGGGGCCGAUGGGUGAGAGAGGGGGAAAAGGAUGACGGCGUGCUAGGGUUUCGGCCCGGGGCAAGGGGGGAGGCUUAUAAGCGGGGUCGGCCGGGCGAUGGCCACCACGGCGCCGUUGGCAGCGGCCGAUGGCCGCCACGCCCUCCACUGUCCUCUGUAGCGUGAGGAGGGGAUGGGUGAGGUGACUAGGCUGGCCUGUUUGCUAGACGGGCCAUAGUGCCCAGUAGAAUAGGCCUUUUACCUUUUUGUUUUUCUGUUUUAUUUAUUUCUUCACUACUUUGCAUUUUAUUUGAGCCACUAAAAGAGUUUUAUUUAAUACAAAACUUGGCACAAAAAUACAAGGCAAUAACCUGGGUUGGUACAAAAAAAAGUUCCAAGCAUUUGGGAGUGUUCAAUUAUUUUUAGAAAUUGAAAAGCUCAAAUAAUUGGCUGAUGGUCCACUGAAUAAAAUUCCAGGGGAACUGUGGGAAUCCAAAAGAGGUUGUUCCAACAUGACAAAUAUCCAACGAAUAUUUUCCACACUUUGAACAUUUUAGCUUUCAUGUUUGAAAACUUUUAUUUUGGACUUUAAUUUAAAUUUGAAUUUGGACCGGGUUCGAACCAACGAGAGUUUAACAACAGUAAUCAUGAUGACGUUGCAUCAUUAGCAGGGAAUUACUAUAGCUUAAUUAUCCGGGCGUCACAAUUCUCCUCCACUACAAGAAAUCUCGUCCCAAGAUUUAAGGGGUGGAGUAAGGGGGAAAGACUGGAAGGACGAAGCUCGACACAAGAUAGGUACCUGGGGGAUAUCUUAGUGAACGUGACACAAAGGCAUCUCUCGAGUUGAAAUUUCAGGAAAUCCUCGAGAGCACGGUAAGGAGGUGCAAUAAGAAGCUUCAACCGGUUAGGCAAUCGUUCAUUGCCUGAAAUAGAGGGUAAAUGGGGUUUAGAGCAAUGGGAAUAAGUAUGGCGUCUGAUACUAGAAUAGAUCAAUAGGAAGGUGGCUCGUGAUUAGCAUACAAAGCCAAGUGCGAGGAACAAUUUUGGAGAACAAGGAUGUACAUGCGAGUCAGGUUUCGAUCCUGGGACCUGUGGGUUAUGGGCCCACCAUGUGGGCUAAAAGCAGGAAGGGUGCUAACAUUUUGCAUGGUCAUGAUAGCAAGGCAUUUCAGAGGAUAGCUUGUCAGUUAUGUUGGCAACAACGUUGGUACCAAGGGGGAGGGAUGAAGAGAACCAUUUUCCUGCUCGUUGAAACGAGGCGGACCAAUAGGCAAAGUUCUCAUCCAUCGGUGGUUACCGGAAUGUCAUCAACAAUAGUAACAAGCUCUUACUGACAGAGUUUGUACACCGAGGUGUUUACAUAAGCAGCGAGUUAUCACUGCUCAGAUAUGUUAGUUUAUAAGAAAGGUUAAACAAAACAAUGGAAGGGGAAAGUGUAGACUCGAAUCAGUUAUCGUGUUCUCGAGUGUCUAAAUACUCAGAACCCGUGGAAAAUUGGAAUCGGCGAGAAAUAAUAGUUGAUCAAGAACUCAUAAGAAGUUAUGUAGUUCCAUGAUAUUCUCGAGAUACCAGAGGGUAACACUCAAAGGUAUAUCAAUGUAAAGGUUGAACAGGUGAAACGAUCUGAAGAAGACAAGUACUUUAACUUGUCUGAUAAAUGGAUCAAACAAGAACAAUAUGGUCGGUACCACGAUUGCAAAGGACCAAACAUAGAUACAAGACAAACUUAUCACAUGAGGAUUAUUAUUAUGACAAGAAGCUUCCAUGAUAAGUUCCACAUCGGGUCUGUGGGCAUGAACACAAAGGUUCAAGGUCGACUCCCACUUCUCCAAUGCAUAACUUUUCAUUCACUUCUCAUUUUUGACGAAGUCGUAGUGUUUAGAUUUUAUCUGGCAUAACACUUGUAGAGUAUGAGUCGUAGAAGUUUCCGGGUUCACACAGAUUUAGGGAAGACAUGGAUUCAACCCAUAGGAACAUCUUAGGAUCAUAUACCACAAACUUCACGAGUAAAUAACUCAAGCCCGGAAGCAGAGUAUGGUUUACGAGAGCGGGGGAUACAAUUUACCAAAGGCAUUGUGUAUCCGAGAAAAGGCUCACAAGGUUAUUGAAUAUGAAGGACGUUGUCAGAUAAAAUCCACAAAGGACCUGGUGGUCCAUGAGGGAUCUGAUGUGAGCAACAGUACUCAACCAGAAGAAGAAAGAAUGCAAGAAGGUCAGGUUAUAGAAACAACUGACUAAUUCAAAGCUCAAUGCAAAGGAAUAUUUCCAAAAUGGGGGAUCAGAAGAAGAGGCUCUGAUCAAAGACAAGUAAGUUGAGUAGACUUAGGGCACAACCGAUGGUUUCUGAUUGGCUAAGAACCAGCUCAAGUUCGGGAAGACGUCUGAGCAGGAAGAUAAUCUAUAAGGGUGAACUGAUGAUUGCGACACAAACAUAUCAAAUCGAAAGACUCAAGAUGAUAUUAACAAAGGACGUCAACAGAUACUGCUAGUCAUAUGGAAUUAACCAGAGUGUAGGCAGGUAAGACCUUCUAGAGCAAUAGGUGACAGAGGUCAUCGAAAGCUCGGAUUGUAUUACAAAGUAUCUUAUGAAGCAUAAGAAUAACCGGGGAUGAAUGGAUACUCGAUAAGAGCGAGUAAUUAUCUGUAGGGGUAUUCAUGCGGCAAGGACUGCAGGGCAGUAAGCAUAAAGGAUUCUCGGAACAUCAGAGAGUAUUUCAGGACAUCUUGUAAUAACAAGGGCAACUAGGGAUGAAGGUAUGAACGACAAUUGUAGGUAGUUACCCAUAAUGAUUUAUCGGUGGCAGGGAUUACAACGGCGAAUGGCACAAGGGUCUCGUGAAGCAUCGGAGAGUAUCUUUAGAAUCUUCUAGUGAAGCGGGCCAUCAUCUGGAAUGAAGGGGCUCUCCGAGAUAAGUAUUUACGAGAACCUAGAGUUAUAGUUUGCAAAACCAUUUAACCUGAAUGGAAGAGAGAUCAGAUUCCCAGAGCAUAGACGGGGAAUAAAAAAUCCUAAUACCACCCAAUGGCGACGUGGGCCCACAAGCCACACAACCAUGUUAGUAAAACCGUUUUUUUAAAACUAGACUCAACUUCGGCCAAGGAGUUGGAAAGGGGGAUCCUACAGCCAGUCGGCUCUGAUACCAACUUGUGACGCCCUCGAUUCAAUCGUACACUAAUCAUACACGCAAAUGUGUACGAUCAAGAUCAAGGACUUACGGGAAGAUAUCACAACACAACUCUAGACACAAAUUAAAAUAAUACAAGCUUUAUAUUACAAGCUAGGGGCCUUGAGGGCUCGAAUACAAAAGCUCGAUACACAAGAGUCAGCGGAAGCAACAAUAUCUGAGUACAGACAUAAGUUAAACAAGGAUGCCUUAAGAAGGCUAGCACAAAAGCAACAACGAUCGAAGAGGCAAGGCCUCCUGCCUGGGACCUCCUAACUACUCCUGGUCAUCGGCGAUCUUCAUGUAGUAGCAUCGAUCGGUGGUGGCAUCUGGCUCCAAGGAUCCACCAUCUGGUUGCGUCAACCGGAAAGAAGAAAGAAGGGGGGAGGGGUAGAAAAGCAACCGUGAGUACUCAUCCAAAGUACUCGCAAGCAUCAGAUCUAUACUAAGUAUGCACUGGUAUCAAAUGGAAGUUUUGUAUAUGUGACGCCCCCGAUUCAAUCAUACACUAAUCAUACACGCAAACGUGUACGAUCAAGAUCAGGGACUCACGGGAAGAUAUCACAACACAACUCUAAAAACAUAAAUAAGUUAUACAAGCAUCAUAAUACAAGCCAGGGGCCUCGAGGGCUCGAAUACAAGUGCUCGAUCAUAGACGAGUCAGCGGAAGCAACAAUAUCUAAGUACAUACAUAAGUUAAACAAGUUGCCAUAAGAUGGCUAGCACAAACUGGAAUACAGAUCGAAAGAGGCGCAGGCCUCCUUCCUGGGAUCCUCCUAACUACUCUUGGUCAUCGUCAGCGGCCUGCACGUAGUAGUAGGCACCUCCAGUGUAGUAGGAAUCAUCAUCGACGGUGGCGUCUGGCUCCAGGGCUCUAGCAUCUGGUUGCGACAACCAGAUAGAAGGGAAAGGGGAAAAGAGGGAGAAAAGCAACCGUGAGUACUCAUCCAAAGUACUCACAAGCAAGGAGCUACACUACAUAUGCAUGGGUAUAUGUGUAAAGGGCCAUAUCGGUGGACUGAACUACAGAAUGCCAGAAUAAGAGGGGGAUAGCUAAUCCUGUCGAAGACUACGCUUCUGGCAGCCUCCGUCUUGCAGCAUGUAGAAGAGAGUAGAUUGAAGUCCUCCAAGUAGCAUCUCCAAGUAGCAUCUCCAAUAGCAUCGCAUAGCAUAAUCCUACCCGGCGAUCCUCCCCUCGUCGCCCUGUGGAAAAGCGAUCACCGGGUUGUCUGUGGAACUUGGAAGGGUGUGUUUUAUUAAGUAUCCGAUUCUAGUUGUCAUAAGGUCAAGGUACAACUCCAAGUCGUCCUGUUACCGAAGAUCACGGCUAUUCGAAUAGAUUAACUUCCCUGCAGGGGUGCACCACAUAACCCAACACGCUUGAUCCCAUUUGGCCGGACACACUUUCCUGGGUCAUGCCCGGCCUCGGAAGAUCAACACGUCGUAGCCCCACCUAGGCACAACAGAAAGGUCAGCACACCGGUCUAAACCUAAGCGCACAGGGGUCUGGGCCCAUCGCCCUGAGCACACCUGCACGUUGCGUGGGCGGCCGGAAGCAGACCUAGCCUAGUGGCGUUCUAGUCCAAUCCGGCAUGCGCCGCUCAGUCGCUGACAUCACGAAGUGCUUCGGCUGAUACCACGACGCUGGGAUACCCAUAACUACUCCCGCGUAGAUGGUUAGUGCGUAUAGACCAAAUGGCUAGACUUAGAUCAAAUACCAAGAUCUCGUUAAGCGUGUUAAGUGUCCGCGAACGUCGAACAGGGCCAGGCCCACCUGUCUCCUAGGUGGUCUCAACCUGCCCUAUCGCUCCGCCACAAAGUAAUAGUCGGGGGCCGUCGGGAACCCAGGCCCACCUCUACCGGGAUGGAGCCACCUGUCCUUUCAGCCCCCUCAUCAGAAUCACUUCCGGGUACACAUCGAGCUGACCCGACUUUAGUCACCAUCUGUACAGUAUGUAUGUAUGUAUAGUAUAUACCCGUGAUCACCUCCCGAGUGAUCACGGCCCAAUAGUAUAGCAAGGCAGACUGACAAGAAUGUAGGGCCAAUGAUGAUAAACUAGCAUCCUAUACUAAAUAUUUAGGAUUGCAGGUAAGGUAUCAACAGAUGUAGCAACAAUGUCAGGCUAUGCAUCAGAAUAGGAUUAACGGAAAGCAGUAACAUGCUACACUACUCUAAUGCAAGCAGUAUAGAGGAGAAUAGGCGAUAUCUGGUGAUCAAGGGGGGGGGGGCUUGCCUGGUUGCUCUGGCAAGAAGGAGUGGUCGUCAACUCCAUAGUGGUACUGGGUAGCAGCGGCGUCGGUCUCGGUGUCUAGCGGAAGAAGAGGGGGAAGAAACAAUGAAUACAAUGCAAACAGAUGCAUGACAAUGCAUGACAAAGCAAAACGUGAUGCUAGGCGUGCCCUAACGCGGUAUGAGGUGAUGCCGGUGAAGAGGGGAAACAUCCGGAAAAGUAUCCCCGGUGUUUCGCGUUUUUGGAUAGAUAAACUGGAGGGGGAAAGUUGCGAGUUCGGUAGGUUAGGGAUGUGUGGCGGACGAACGGGCUAUGUAUCCGGAUUCGUCUCGUCGUUUUGAGCAACUUUCAUGUUGAAAAUAAUUUAAUCCGAGUUACGGAUUAAAAAAUAUGAUUUUCUAAAGAUUUAUAUUAAUUUCAGAAAUUUAAUUAAUUAUUUAAUUUAAUUCGAAAUUGGAUUUAUGACAUCAGCAUGAUGUCAUGCUGAAGUCAGUAGUCAACAGGGGUUGACUGGUCAACCUGACCAAUGGGUCCCACUGGUCAGUGACACAUUUUAGUUAAGCAUUUUAAUUAAUCUAAACAGGAUUAAUUGGGGGGGUGGGCCCCACUAUCAUUGACUACUUAAUUAACUAAUUAACUGAUUAAUUAGUUUAGUUAGUUGAUUAGUUUAAUUAAUCAAAAUUAAUUAAGUUAAUUAAUUCUUUACUAGUUAAUUAAUUGAUUUUUAAUAUAUAAUUUUAUUAUUAUUAUUAUUUUAAUUUCCUUUUUUUAUAAAAAAAACAUUCUGGGGCUAGUGGGCCCUGUUUGGAAGUGACCCAGAGGGCCAAACGGGGACGGAUUAGCGGGCGCGCAGGCGCUGGGCGGAACCGGGCAUCGGGCGCCAGCCCGCCCGACAGGGCACCGCGGCCAGGAGGCGAAGGGCGUGGCUCGGCGUCGCCGGCCAUGGCCGGAGCGGGGCGACACGGCGUGGCCAGACGAGGCCGGCCCGAGCGCAGGGGGGCGGUGGAUUGGGCGCGGGGCACCGCGGUCGCGUGGACUCGCGGGCACGGCCAGGGGCGCGGUGGUAUGAGGCCAGAAGCCGGGGCGUGCGGGACGAACGGCCCUGGGUCGCGGUGAGCGUGACCGGCGUAGGGGAGGCGGGUGCGUGCUCGCGCAUGAUGGCGCACCGGGCGGGGCGAGUGCGGCCCUGAGCGCGGGCGCGUUCGAUGACGAACGAGCAGAGGGAAGGGAAGGAGCGAGGAAGAGGCUCACUGGGGCCGCAGGGGGAAUGGCAGCGGGCUCGACGGAGGUCGGGGAGGUCCGAUGAGGGAGAGGAUGAGGCGGCGGCAGUCCGGCGACGACGGGCGACGGCGAGUCAAGGGCGACGGGGUGACUGACAGAGGCUCAAGAUAUUUAUUCAUUUGACGGUGCUCCUCAAAUUUAUUCAUUUCUCGCUAUUCUAUUGUUCCGGAGUGCUCAAGAUAUCUCGAAGAUUCGUGGUUCCACUCUGCAUUCGUUCAAGCUCUUUCGAGAUUGGUAUCUCAUUCAAGUCAUUUAAUUCAACCGGUGCAACAUCUCUUUUAAAUCUUUUCAACGGUGUUCUUUUGAGUGGGCCCUAACCCACAGGUCUUUUCCCAGGAUCUUACCUGACUCUUCUAAUUAUCACGAGCGAUUCCCAAAUUCUUUUCGAAGUUUGAUGUAAGAAUGAAUUAUCAUCAGUCAUAUGUCCUUCUCCAAGAUCUUUCAAAUUCUUUUCAUCGUUGGCUCAACCUUUCUAAUUUUCAUCCCGGAGUGCCUCAACAAUUUUGGUGGUUCUCGUCAUCAUUCUCAGCAUGUGCAGACCGAAGAAGGAUUUCUCCUUAAUCUUGCUCUUUUCUCUUCAAGAUUCGUGAUUCUAGCUUGUUGCCAUCCUCUCAUAACUGUGUUCGAUUGUGAGAUAUUAUUUUCAUCCAUCCGGAGUUAUUCAAGAGUCUUCUCAGUUUGUCAUCCGGAGUCCAUCAAUUCAGAUUUAUUCAUUCUCAGUUUGCAGUUAUCAUUCUCCGAUCUUACUGGAGCCUUGUUCAAGUGAUCUUUAAUCGGCUCGUGCUCUCUUCGUUCUCAUGUAUCUAAAUACCCUAAAGUAUCUUCAUUCAUUUUGCAAUUCUUCCCGGUGAUUUGUGCAUUUGCUACGUUCAAUUUCAAUUCUUAUGGUGGUUCAUUCAAGAGUUCUCUUUCUUUGUUAUCAUAUCAAUUCAUUCGUUCUUUCCAAAUCCUACCGGUGGUUCGUUGAAGACCUUCUCAAGUUUACGCCAUAUCUCUCUUAAUCCUUUCUACAAGAAUAAGUGGUAUGCCAAAUCCGUUGCUUGUCAUCAAUUUAAAUUGGUGAAGGAUAUGCAUAACAUAAUUCUUAUUCUGGUUUCAUCCAAGUGAUUAAUCCUUUCCUUCAGAGUUUGUCCAGGAGGAAUAAAUUCUUGGCUGCUUGUUGUUCAUCUUUCUUCCGGAGUUCUAAGUUUUCCGCAUUAUCUCGUCGCGAAGCUCCAUCUAAAUCAUCGCAAGGCUUCACCUUGUGUUUUCAACUUCUCUUUCUUUUUAUCAUCCUUUUAUUACCGGAGUUCUUCAUGGAGGCUCUACAUGAUGGUUCAUCAAGGAUAUAUUUCUUCUCGAAGUGUUCAUCGAGAUUCUUUUCUAAGAAACUCAAGCAUUCUUCAUCUUGCUAUCCGGAGUGCAAUUUAUUUCUACCGUAUCUUUGGAGGUGGUAUUAUGUCCUUCUUGAUAAUUCCCCUUCGUUGCUUCGUGAGUCACAAGUUAUCAAGAAUGAGAUAUUUUAAAUCCAUCAAUCUCUUCUUUGGAGUUAUCUUGAGUUAUAUUUCACCUAAAGCUUUCCCCUAAGGAGUAAUGCUAUUAAUGGGGAUAAUAUAUGAUCCAAGUUUUCAUUUAUCCUCCCGGUGAAAUAAGUUUCUCGUAUUUUUGUUCUUAUCAAUCCAAUUCUUUUCCCAUGAGUGGCAGGUUUUUUUCAUCUCUUAAUUUGAGAGGUAUUCCAUAAGACCAUAUCAAGCUUAUUAUUUUCGUUGUGGGUUUUCCAACAACUCCGUUCUAGCUUCUGUUGUAACCGUGCUCUCUCAAGAUAUUGUUUUCCUUCGUUCACUACAUUCCAUUCUUACUUUUGUUCCGGAGGAAUUGUGAUGUUCAUCUUUUCAACCCAUCGUCUCGUUUUGUCAAAGAUCAUGAUCUUUCCAUGCCUAUCCUUUUAAUCUGAGUGUUGUGUCCUCUUUACAAGUAUCCUCUCAUCUUGUCAAGUUCAAUUCCUUCCAUUUACAGAUGGAGUGCUGUCCAAAUUAUAUCACUCUUAUUCCUUCCCUAUCUUGCUUAACCGGAGUAUUGUGCCCCUUUGUUCAAGUUCUUUUCGCCUUAUCAAGUCUUGCAUCCCUUUCUCAACCAGAGUGUCGUGUUUUCAUUUGGGCUAUCUCAUCUUAUCAAAUUUUGACUCCCUUCUCAACAGGAGUGCUGUCUGAGAUCUUUGUUACCCCUUGCUCCAUUCAUUCAAUAGUUCCGGUGGCAGUGUGUUGUGAUUUCAUCAAGUAUCUUCUCAUCUUAUCAAGACCUUAUUCAAUUCUUUUCUUUUCAACCGGAGUGCUGCCCGAAUUUGGUCUUUCUUGAUCCCCUUCUGUAACCGGAGUGUUCUCAAUAUAUAUCUUCCCUUCAACCUCAAGGUUUCGCAAUGCUCUUUGUCCCUAGUUUCUAACGGAGUGUUUUCGACUUUGUUCUCCUUCGUUCUAUUCUUUUCUCGAAUUAGUUCAACCUCGCAAGGUUCUUUGGUUUCACUCGUUUGUCAAAGGAGCAACUUAGUUUUACCUCUCCUCUCUUCUCUUCCGUUGUUUCCCUUCGGUGUCAUUCUAGAUCUCGGGACGAGAUCCUCUUGUAGUGGUGGAGUGUUGUAACGCCCCGAGUCCGAUGUGCCAGGUGUCGUUCAGUUAUUCGUUGUUGUUGUCUUGUCUUUGGCUUGCGUGUUGCAUUUCAUCAUGUCAUCAUGUGCAUUGCAUCAUCAUGUUUUCAAAACUUGCAUCCGUCCCGGUCUCCUCGUUCCGUCCGUUGUCCGUUCUGAGCCCAGACACACUUGCACACGCCCGCGGCAUGUCCGAAAUAUUAUUUUAUAAGUGGCCGGAAAAUGUUCUCGGAUUGGGUUGAAAUUUGGUGUGUGGUCUUAUUAUAGUGUAGACAGACCGCCUGUCCAGUUUCAUCGCAAUCGGAGUUCGUUUGACGCCCCAACGGAUAAAUAUAGCGGCAAUAGUAGCCGGUCAAAACGUCGGACGUUUUCGGUCUCCGGAAAUAGUUGCCGGGCCUCCCUCUCUUCUCUUCUCUCAGCUCGAGACCAUCUACACAGUCACUACUCACCACCAUGCCCUACCUAACCUCUCUCGUCAGCCCGCGACCCUCCUCGCGCACGCCCGAAAGUUGUCCCGGACCCGAACCGAGCAGUCGCCACCGUUGUAUCCGGAUCAUCCCCAAACGUCUACAAAACGUCACCGUUUUCUUAUUUGGACUCCCGAGCCUAUUUAUUCUCGUCUGUAGGUUUUCGAUCGGAUGAUCCAACUUCCCUCUUUUCCUGUAUAUAUAGUCUACCCCUAGUCUAUCUUCGGACCAAUCCCUAAUCCCUAGGGAUCCUCCUAGCCGCCGCCGCCACACUUAAAUCCCACCUCGGGAUCCUCCCAGAUCUGUUUCUCUUUGCGUCGUGGAUCCCCUUUGCCUUGCUUGAGCUCGCCAGGGAGCAGAGCACCACGGCGCCCCGAUUUUCUCGCGCCCCCACUCGAACCAGGAGCCAGAGCUCGUCCACGCGCUGGCCAGCAGCAGUGCGCCCCGCCUUGACUCGCCAUGGAGACCACCGCGGGCUUCGACGCUGCCGUCCUCAUGCUGCAUCGCCGCCGAUGCCCGUGUCUUCGAACGUCCCUGCCUCCUCUGCUUCAGACCAACGCGCCGGCCGCUGGAUCCGAACCCCGCCGUCCUCGUCUGUCACGCCGCCGGCAACCACCAGAUCAGUCCCCCGCCACGCCGUUUCCUCGCCACCGGUGAGUAGCGCGCCCCCGCGACCCUUCUUUUUCUCCUCUCUCUCACAGGCCUCACAUCUCUCUCUCCUUCCCCCCUACAGAACCGCCAUGGACGCCCGAUCCCGACGGUGACCUCGACCUUCAGACCACCCGGACGCGCCCUGGGUCCUACCGGGAACCGGCUCCCCGUCGUCAGGACUCCUCGGAUCCGCGUCGUCGCCCUGCGAUGCCCCGACCUCGAGCCCUUCCCACUGCCGCCUGCGUUCUUCAGCUUCGUCAGAGCAUGAGCGAGGCCAGGCGCGUUGACCCUUUCGACCGAGCCAAGCAGGCCGGCCCAGCGUGCCCCCUGCUAGCCCGGCCUUCCUCCGACUGGGCCAGGCCCAGGGUGAGCUGCCCCUCCAGCGCCCCUCCGUGUGUUUUUUUUUUGGUUGGGCCAGGAGAUUUUGGCCCGUUGAUGUUUUUUUUCACUGGCUGCAAUUUUAGCUUUAUCCAGGGAACGUCAGUUUUGCAGAAUAGCCCCUAAACUUCAUGCAUUUAAUAACUUCACAACCGUGCAUCGGAUUAAAAUAAGUUAUAUAUGAAACUUGCUCAGAAUUUUGUCUAGUUUAAUAAUAUGUCACUUUCAUCCAUGUUUAAAAUGUUUAAAAGGCUGUUUGUGUAAUUUUGCUUAAUGCCAUGCUAAAAUGAUUUAUUUCAUAACUAAAUAACCGUAACUCCAAUUUUAAUAAACUUUAUAUGUAAAUGGAGUAGAAUUUUGCCUAGUUUAUCAUGGUGACCUUUAUUUGCAUAUUAAACAACUCUAAAAUUGUGUUUAGGGCAGAACAGGACCUAAUCUAAAAUAUGCAUAUGGGGAGUUUCCGGAAUUGUUGUUCGUUGCUUCCGGCCUCAUUUAAACUUGACUAGAUAGGUAGUUUUACUUUGCUUCACCCUCUUGCCAUGUUAACCAACAUUUAAUAUUGUUGAGUACAUAAACGAGAUCAAACUAAAUAACUUGUUGUGGUGUUUUGUCAAUAUGCAUCCCGAUGCAUAUUGAUGCUCCACUUAAUUUGUAGGAUUGCUUGUGCACUUUGCCAUGCCAUGUUUCAUUAAACCGGACAUGCAUCAUACUCGUUUGUGCAUCAUGCCAUGUUGUUGUGGUGGUUGUUUACUAUGUUGUGUGCUUCUUUUCCGGUGUUUGCUUCUUCGGGUUGGUUCCGAUAACGUCGAGGUUGUGAGGAUCCAUUCGUCUUCGCCCGUUUGUCUUCUUCAUGGACUCGUUCUUCUUCCUUGCGGGAUUUCAGGCAAGAUGAUCAUACCCUCGAAAUCACUACUAUCUUUGCUAUGCUAGUUUUGCUCGCUCUUUUGCCAUGCCAAUGCUACGAUGCCUACCACUUGCUUGUCAGCCACCCAAAUUGCCAUGUUCAACCUCUAACCCACCAUGUCCUAGCAAACCGUUGAUUGGCUAUGUUACCGCUUUGCUCAGCCCCUCUUAUAGCGUUGUUAGUUGCAGGUGAAGAUUGAAGUUUGUUCCUUGUUGGAACAUGGAGAUGUUGUUCCUUGUUGGAACAUGUUUACUUGUUGGGAUAUCACAAUAUAUCUUACUUAAUUAAUGCAUCUAUAUACUUGGUAAAGGGUGGAAGGCUCGGCCUUAUGCCUGGUGUUUUGUUCCACUCUUGCCGCCCUAGUUUCCGUCAUAUCGGUGUUAUGUUCCCGGAUUUUGCGUCCCUUACGCGGUUGGGCUAUAAUGGGAACCCCUUGACAGUUCGCCUUAAGUAAAGCUUCUCCAGCAAUGCCCAACAUUGGUUUUACCAUUUGCCACCUAGCCUUUUCUUUUCCCUUGGGAGUCGCGCUCAUGAGGGUCAUCAUUAUUUUACCCCCCCGGGCCAGUGCUCCUCUGAGUGUUGGUCCAACCUGUCAGCUGCCGGUGGCCACCAGGGGCAACUCUGGGUUGGCCUACCCGCACCUAAGACAAUCUGAGUGUGCCCUGAGAAAGAGAUAUGUGCAGCUCCUAUCAGGAUUUGUCGGCACAUUCGGACGGUGUUGCUGGUUUAGUUUUACCCUGUCGAAAUGUCUUGUUGUACCGGGAUACCGAGUCUGAUCGGAAUGUCUCGGGUGGAGGUCUAUUCCUUCGUUGACCGUGAGAGCUUGUGAUGGGCUAAGUUGGGACACCCCUGCAGGGAUUUGAACUUUCGAAAGCCGUGCCCGCGGUUAUGGGCAGAUGGGAAUUUGUUAACGUCCGGUUGUAGAAAACCCGAAGUUGACCUUAAUUAAAAUACAUCAACUGCGUGUGUAACCGUGAUGGUCUCUUUCCGGCGGAGUCCGGGAAGUGAACACGGUGUUGGAGUUAUGCUUGACGUAGGUUGCUAUAGGAUCACUUCUUGAUCAUACUUUUAUCGACCGCGCUUUGCCUUCUCUUCUCGCUCUCAUUUGCGUAUGUUAGCCACCAUAUAUGCUAGUCGCUUGCUGCAGCUCCACCUCAUUACUCCAUCCUUCCUAUAAGCUUAAAUAGUCUUGAUCUCGCGGGUGCGAGAUUGCUGAGUCCCCGUGGCUCACAGAUACUUUCAAAAACCAGCUUGCAGGUGCCGUUGAGUCCGUGCAGAUGACGCAACCAAGCUCAGGAGGAGCUCGAUGAAGAUCUUGUCCUUUGUAUUGUUUCCGUUCUAGUUGAUCAGUAGUGGAGCCCAGUUGGGGUCGAUCGGGGACCUUUGUCGCAUUUGGGGUUCUUCUUUUAUUUUGGUUCCGUAGUCGGACCUUGAUUGUAUCUGUAUGAUGUAAUGCUUUAUUCAUGUAAUCGUGUGAAGUGGCGAUUAUAAGCCAACUAUGUAUCUCUUUCCCUUAUGUAUUACAUCGGUUGUGUGAAGAUUACCUCACUUGCGACAUUGCUUUCAAUGCGGUUAUGCCUCUAAGUCGUGCUUCGACACGUGGGAGAUAUAGCCGCAUCGAGGGCGUUACAAGUUGGUAUCAGAGCCUUCCCCGACCUUAGGAGCCCCAUUGCUUGAUCGUUUUUAGCGGCCGAGUUUGAGUCUAGAAAAAAAAAUAUUUUGAGUCAUUUAGGAUUUUAUAUAUCGGAGAGUUAGGAAUUCUUUUUACUUCCCAGUCUCUUCAUCGCUCUGGUAAGGCAUCCUGACGUAGAGUUUUGACUCUUCUCUUCUCAAAUUUCACUAAAAAAUUUUUAGGAUCACGCGGGUAUCUUGGAAUCGUUCCGAUGGUUUUAUGAUGAGAACAUUGUCUUGGUGCCUCCUGUCAGGGGUUUAGUGGAAGUGUCUCGGGGAGUUGAGCUCUGAGGUGUUGUCAUCAUAAUUUUAUCGUUGCAGUUCUGGAAUACCUGAGUUUAGUACGCCGACAUCGAAAAUCUCUUUUAUGCAGUUGUUGGUGAGAUAACCCCGAUAACCCAGUACUGAGGUGAGUACGGGAGUAUCGCCAUAAUUUGUAUAACGGAUGCUUUUCGAAGGUUGAGGUAGAUGAUUUCCGAAGGUUUCUUGGUUAUGUGUUGAAGGAUGGAUACAGCUGGAUGUAGGAUUUGCUAGUUUGGGUGAGAUAUUAUGCUUCCCCUGUAUCCCCAACACCUGAUUGCAUAACCGGAAAAUUUCGGGAGUUUCAUAGGUGGGAAUUCAAGUAGCUCUUAGGAUAUCUUUUCGACAGAUGUAUGAUAUGAAAUUGGGGUUCGACGUCUAGUGGUCCGCCUUUCCACGGUCGUUUUUACAGUGGUCUCGUUGUGUCUUAAAGAGUCCUUGGCUAUGCCGACUCGGGGACACUUCAUAUGUCAUGUGCACUGCCUUGUACAUGAUGGUGCUGUACACUCGAGCCCGUGUAGGCCCCACCACGAAAAUUUCGGAUGGAAUCUCUAUCAUAUGUUUGUUCCGGCUUAUUCUGCAAGCCAGUCCUUUGUUUUUGUUUUGAGUUGUGGUAUUCGAGUUGCUUCAAUGUCAAGUGUUGAUUCCAUACCUUUCUUAAAUGGUGUUCUCAUACUCCGAUGUGAAUACCAAUCCUUCUCGACAAUCGAGAUUGUCAUGUCAAUCCUUCAACCAGCGUCUUUCUCUUCAAGUGGAUCCGAUCAUUUCAACAUUCGCAAGAUCACCUCUCAGUUCUCUCAACGGUGUUUGUUUCAUCCGUCCCAAGUUGUUUUUGUUUUCCCGCCCUCCCACCCCUUUUUUCUUCAAGGACUCAGAUUUCUUAAUCGAGUAUCCAUUUUAUUGAUGGGAAGUUUCUCCAUUCUUUUCCGUCAAUGUUCUUAUCCGGUGAUUCUCAUGAAGAUUCUAAUGGAGCUUCAAGUUCGUCAUUCCUCAUUCCUUUCUCUUCUCCGGUGGAUUCAAGUCAAGAUUUGUCGAUUAUAUCCCCUUUUUCUCGUCUCAAAUACNNNNNNNNNNAGAUUUCUUAAUCGAGUAUCCAUUUUAUUGAUGGGAAGUUUCUCCAUUCUUUUCCGUCAAUGUUCUUAUCCGGUGAUUCUCAUGAAGAUUCUAAUGGAGCUUCAAGUUCGUCAUUCCUCAUUCCUUUCUCUUCUCCGGUGGAUUCAAGUCAAGAUUUGUCGAUUACAUCCCCUUUUUCUCGUCUCAAAUACCUUCUCUUGACGGUGCUCCUCAUAUUUAUUCAUUUCUCGCUAUUCUAUUGUUCCGGAGUGCUCAAGAUAUCUCGAAGAUUCGUGGUUCCACUCUGCAUUCGUUCAAGCUCUUUCGAGAUUGGUAUCUCAUUCAAGUCAUUUAAUUCAACCGGUGCAACAUCUCUUUUAAAUCUUUUCAACGGUGUUCUUUUGAGUGGGCCCUAACCCACAGGUCUUUUCCCAGGAUCUUACCUGACUCUUCUAAUUAUCACGAGCGAUUCCCAAAUUCUUUUCGAAGUUUGAUGUAAGAAUGAAUUAUCAUCAGUCAUAUGUCCUUCUCCAAGAUCUUUCAAAUUCUUUUCAUCGUUGGCUCAACCUUUCUAAUUUUCAUCCCGGAGUGCCUCAACAAUUUUGGUGGUUCUCGUCAUCAUUCUCAGCAUGUGCAGACCGAAGAAGGAUUUCUCCUUAAUCUUGCUCUUUUCUCUUCAAGAUUCGUGAUUCUAGCUUGUUGCCAUCCUCUCAUAACUGUGUUCGAUUGUGAGAUAUUAUUUUCAUCCAUCCGGAGUUAUUCAAGAGUCUUCUCAGUUUGUCAUCCGGAGUCCAUCAAUUCAGAUUUAUUCAUUCUCAGUUUGCAGUUAUCAUUCUCCGAUCUUACUGGAGCCUUGUUCAAGUGAUCUUUAAUCGGCUCGUGCUCUCUUUGUUCUCAUGUAUCUAAAUACCCUAAAGUAUCUUCAUUCAUUUUGCAAUUCUUCCCGGUGAUUUGUGCAUUUGCUACGUUCAAUUUCAAUUCUUACGGUGGUUCGUUCAAGAGUUCUCUUUCUUUGUUAUCAUAUAAAUUCAUUCGUUCUUUCCAAAUCCUACCGGUGGUUCGUUGAAGACCUUCUCAAGUUUACGCCAUAUCUCUCUUAAUCCUUUCUACAAGAAUAAGUGGUAUGCCAAAUCCGUUGCUUGUCAUCAAUUUAAAUUGGUGAAGGAUACGCAUAACAUAAUUCUUAUUCUGGUUUCAUCCAAGUGAUUAAUCCUUUCCUUCAGAGUUUGUCCAGGAGGAAUAAAUUCUUGGCUGCUUGUUGUUCAUCUUUCUUCCGGAGUUCUAAGUUUUCCGCAUUAUCUCGUCGCGAAGCUCCAUCUAAAUCAUCGCAAGGCUUCACCUUGUGUUUUCAACUUCUCUUUCUUUUUAUCAUCCUUUUAUUACCGGAGUUCUUCAUGGAGGCUCUACAUGAUGGUUCAUCAAGGAUAUAUUUCUUCUCGAAGUGUUCAUCGAGAUUCUUUUCUAAGAAACUCAAGCAUUCUUCAUCUUGCUAUCCGGAGUGCAAUUUCUUUCUACCGUAUCUUUGGAGGUGGUAUUAUGUCCUUCUUGAUAAUUCCCCUUCGUUGCUUCGUGAGUCACAAGUUAUCAAGAAUGAGAUAUUUUAAAUCCAUCAAUCUCUUCUUUGGAGUUAUCUUUAGUUAUAUUUCACCUAAAGCUUUCCCCUAAGGAGUAAUGCUAUUAAUGGGGAUAAUAUAUGAUCCAAGUUUUCAUUUAUCCUCCCGGUGAAAUAAGUUUCUCGUAUUUUUGUUCUUAUCAAUCCAAUUCUUUUCCCAUGAGUGGCAGGUUUUUUUUCAUCUCUUAAUUUGAGAGGUAUUCCAUAAGACCAUAUCAAGCUUAUUAUUUUCGUUGUGGGUUUUCCAACAACUCCGUUCUAGCUUCUGUUGUAACCGUGCUCUCUCAAGAUAUUGUUUUCCUUCGUUCACUACAUUCCAUUCUUACUUUUGUUCCGGAGGCAUUGUGAUGUUCAUCUUUUCAACCCAUCAUCUCGUUUUGUCAAAGAUCAUGAUCUUUCCAUGCCUAUCCUUUUAAUCUGAGUGUUGUGUCCUCUUUACAAGUAUCCUCUCAUCUUGUCAAGUUCAAUUCCUUCCAUUUACAGAUGGAGUGCUGUCCAAAUUAUAUCACUCUUAUUCCUUCCCUAUCUUGCUUAACCGGAGUAUUGUGCCCCUUUGUUCAAGUUCUUUUCGCCUUAUCAAGUCUUGCAUCCCUUUCUCAACCAGAGUGUCGUGUUUUCAUUUGGGCUAUCUCAUCUUAUCAAAUUUUGACUCCCUUCUCAACAGGAGUGCUGUCUGAGAUCUUUGUUACCCCUUGCUCCAUUCAUUCAAUAGUUUCGGUGGCAGUGUGUUGUGAUUUCAUCAAGUAUCUUCUCAUCUUAUCAAGACCUUAUUCAAUUCUUUUCUUUUCAACCGGAGUGCUGCCCGAAUUUGGUCUUUCUUGAUCCCCUUCUGUAACCGGAGUGUUCUCAAUAUAUAUCUUCCUUCAACCUCAAGGUUUCGCAAUGCUCUUUGUCCCUAGUUUCUAACGAAGUGUUUUCGACUUUGUUCUCCUUCGUUCUAUUCUUUUCUCGAAUUAGUUCAACCUCGCAAGGUUCUUUGGUUUCACUCGUUUGUCAAAGGAGCAACUUAGUUUUACCUCUCCUCUCUUCUCUUCCGUUGUUUCCCUUCGGUGUCAUUCUAGAUCUCGGGACGAGAUCCUCUUGUAGUGGUGGAGUGUUGUAACGCCCCGAGUCUGAUGUGCCAGGUGUCGUUCAGUUAUUUGUUGUUGUUGUCUUGUCUUUGGCUUGCGUGUUGCAUUUCAUCAUGUCAUCAUGUGCAUUGCAUCAUCAUGUUUUCAAAACUUGCAUCCGUCCCGGUCUCCUCGUUCCGUCCGUUGUCCGUUCUGAGCCCAGACACACUUGCACACGCCCGCGGCAUGUCCGAAAUAUUAUUUUAUAAGUGGCCGGAAAAUGUUCUCGGAUUGGGUUGAAAUUUGGUGUGUGGUCUUAUUAUAGUGUAGACAGACCGCCUGUCCAGUUUCAUCACAAUCGGAGUUCGUUUGACGCCCCAACGGAUAAAUAUAGCGGCAAUAGUAGCCGGUCAAAACGUCGGACGUUUUCGGUCUCCGGAAAUAGUCGCCGGGCCUCCCUCUCUUCUCUUCUCUCAGCUCGAGACCGUCUAGACAGUCACUACUCACCACCAUGCCCUACCUAACCUCUCUCGUCAGCCCGCGACCCUCCUCGCGCGCGCCCGAAAGUUGUCCCGGACCCGAACCAAGCAGUCGCCACCGUUGUAUCCGGAUCAUCCCCAAACGUCUACAAAACGUCACCGUUUUCUUAUUUGGACUCCUGAGCCUAUUUAUUCUCGUCUGUAGGUUUUCGAUCGGAUGAUCCAACUUCCCUCUUUUCCUGUAUAUAUAGUCUACCCCUAGUCUAUCUUCGGACCAAUCCCUAAUCCCUAGGGAUCCUCCUAGCCGCCGCCGCCACACUUAAAUCCCACCUCGGGAUCCUCCCAGAUCUGUUUCUCUUUGCGUCGUGGAUCCCCUUUGCCUUGCUUGAGCUCGCCAGGGAGCAGAGCACCACGGCGCCCCGAUUUUCUCGCGCCCCCACUCGAACCAGGAGCCAGAGCUCGUCCACGCGCUGGCCAGCAGCAGUGCGCCCCGCCUUGACUCGCCAUGGAGACCACCGCGGGCUUCGACGCUGCCGUCCUCGUGCUGCAUCGCCGCCGAUGCCCGUGUCUUCGAACGUCGCUGCCUCCUCUGCUUCAGACCAACGCGCCGGCCGCUGGAUCCGAACCCCGCUGUCCUCGUCUGUCGCGCCGCCGGCAACCACCAGAUCAGUCCCCCGCCACGCCGUUUCCUCGCCACCGGUGAGUAGCGCGCCACCGCGACCCUUCUUUUUCUCCUCUCUCUCACAGGCCUCACAUCUCUCUCUCCUUCCCCCCUACAGAACCGCCAUGGACGCCCGAUCCCGACGGUGACCUCGACCUUCAGACCACCCGGACGCGCCCUGGGUCCUACCGGGAACCGGCUCCCCGUCGUCAGGACUCCUCGGAUCCAUGUCGUCGCCCCGCGAUGCCCCGACCUCGAGCCCUUCCCACUGCCGCCUGCGUUCUUCAGCUUCGUCAGAGCAUGAGCGAGGCCAGGCGCGUUGACCCUUUCGACCGAGCCAAGCAGGCCGGCCCAGCGUGCCCCCUGCUAGCCCGGCCUUCCUCCGACUGGGCCAGGCCCAGGGUGAGCUGCCCCUCCAGCGCCCCUCCGUGUGUUUUUUUUUUGGUUGGGCCAGCAGAUUUUGGCCCGUUGAUGUUUUUUUUCACUGGCUGCAAUUUUAGCUUUAUCCAGGGAACGUCAGUUUUGCAGAAUAGCCCCUAAACUUCAUGCAUUUAAUAACUUCACAACCGUGCAUCGGAUUAAAAUAAGUUAUAUAUGAAACUUGCUCAGAAUUUUGUCUAGUUUAAUAAUAUGUCACUUUCAUCCAUGUUUAAAAUGUUUAAAAGGCUGUUUGUGUAAUUUUGCUUAAUGCCAUGCUAAAAUGAUUUAUUUCAUAACUAAAUAACCGUAACUCCAAUUUUAAUAAACUUUAUAUGUAAAUGGGGUAGAAUUUUGCCUAGUUUAUCAUGGUGACCUUUAUUUGCAUAUUAAACAACUCUAAUAUUGUGUUUAGGGCAGAACAGGACCUAAUCUAAAAUAUGCAUAUGGGGAGUUUCCGGAAUUGUUGUUCGUUGCUUCCGGCCUCAUUUAAACUUGACUAGAUAGGUAGUUUUACUUUGCUUCACCCUCUUGCCAUGUUAACCAACAUUUAAUAUUGUUGAGUACAUAAACGAGAUCAAACUAAAUAACUUGUUGUGGUGUUUUGUCAAUAUGCAUCCCGAUGCAUAUUGAUGCUCCACUUAAUUUGUAGGAUUGCUUGUGCACUUUGCCAUGCCAUGUUUCAUUAAACCGGACAUGCAUCAUACUCGUUUGUGCAUCAUGCCAUGUUCUUGUGGUGGUUGUUUACUAUGUUGUGUGCUUCUUUUCCGGUGUUUGCUUCUUCGGGUUGGUUCCGAUAACGUCGAGGUUGUGAGGAUCCAUUCGUCUUCGCCCGUUUGUCUUCUUCAUGCACUCGUUCUUCUUCCUUGCGGGAUUUCAGGCAAGAUGAUCAUACCCUCGAAAUCACUAUUAUCUUUGCUAUGCUAGUUUUGCUCGCUCUUUUGCCAUGCCAAUGCUACUAUGCCUACCACUUGCUUGUCAGCCACCCAAAUUGCCAUGUUCAACCUCUAACCCACCAUGUCCUAGCAAACCGUUGAUUGGCUAUGUUACCGCUUUGCUCAGCCCCUCUUAUAGCGUUGUUAGUUGCAGGUGAAGAUUGAAGUUUGUUCCUUGUUGGAACAUGGAGAUGUUGUUCCUUGUUGGAACAUGUUUACUUGUUGGGAUAUCACAAUAUAUCUUACUUAAUUAAUGCAUCUAUAUACUUGGUAAAGGGUGGAAGGCUCGGCCUUAUGCCUGGUGUUUUGUUCCACUCUUGCCGCCCUAGUUUCCGUCAUAUCGGUGUUAUGUUCCCGGAUUUUGCGUCCCUUACGCGGUUGGGCUAUAAUGGGAACCCCUUGACAGUUCGCCUUAAGUAAAGCUUCUCCAGCAAUGCCCAACAUUGGUUUUACCAUUUGCCACCUAGCCUUUUCUUUUCCCUUGGGAGUCGCGCUCCUGAGGGUCAUCAUUAUUUUACCCCCCCCCCCGGGCCAGUGCUCCUCUGAGUGUUGGUCCAACCUGUCAGCUGCCGGUGGCCACCAGGGGCAACUCUGGGUUGGCCUACCCGCACCUAAGACAAUAUGAGUGUGCCCUGAGAAAGAGAUAUGUGCAGCUCCUAUCAGGAUUUGUCGGCACAUUCGGACGGUGUUGCUGGUUUAGUUUUACCCUGUCGAAAUGUCUUGUUGUACCAGGAUACCGAGUCUGAUCGGAAUGUCUCGGGUGGAGGUCUAUUCCUUCGUUGACCGUGAGAGCUUGUGAUGGGCUAAGUUGGGACACCCCUGCAGGGAUUUGAACUUUCGAAAGCCGUGCCCGCGGUUAUGGGCAGAUGGGAAUUUGUUAACGUCCGGUUGUAGAAAACCCGAAGUUGACCUUAAUUAAAAUACAUCAACUGCGUGUGUAACCGUGAUGGUCUCUUUCCGGCGAAGUCCGGGAAGUGAACACGGUGUUGGAGUUAUGCUUGACGUAGGUUGCUAUAGGAUCACUUCUUGAUCAUACUUUUAUCGACCGCACUUUGCCUUCUCUUCUCGCUCUCAUUUGCGUAUGUUAGCCACCAUAUAUGCUAGUCGCUUGCUGCAGCUCCACCUCAUUACUCCAUCCUUCCUAUAAGCUUAAAUAGUCUUGAUCUCGCGGGUGCGAGAUUGCUGAGUCCCCGUGGCUCACAGAUACUUUCAAAAACCAGCUUGUAGGUGCCGUUGAGUCCGUGCAGAUGACGCAACCAAGCUCAGGAGGAGCUCGAUGAAGAUCUUGUCCUUUGUAUUGUUUCCGUUCUAGUUGAUCAGUAGUGGAGCCCAGUUGGGGUCGAUCGGGGACCUUUGUCGCAUUUGGGGUUCUUCUUUUAUUUUGGUUCCGUAGUCGGACCUUGAUUGUAUCUGUAUGAUGUAAUGCUUUAUUCAUGUAAUCGUGUGAAGUGGCGAUUGUAAGCCAACUAUGUAUCUCUUUCCCUUAUGUAUUACAUGGGUUGUGUGAAGAUUACCUCACUUGCGACAUUGCUUUCAAUGCGGUUAUGCCUCUAAGUCAUGCUUCGACACGUGGGAGAUAUAGCCGCAUCGAGGGCGUUACAAUCGAAGACUAGCAUCUUCACGCAGCUCCGAGCAUGUUGCAGCAUGUAGAAGAGUAAAGAAUAACAGUUUAUAAUUAACAAGCAUGUUGUAACAUUAAUGCCCAGAGAUCCUUCCUCGACUCCCUGUGAGAAAGCAAUCCCGGAGCCACAUAUCUCAAGUAUCCAUUUGUAGUUGUAUAAGAUCAGGAUAUAAGUCUGAACGUCCAUUUCCGUGGACACGGUAUUCGAAUAUAUAACUUCCCUGUAGGGGUGCACCACGUUACCCAACACACUCGAUCACUCUGGUCGGACGCACCUUUCUGGGGUCAAUGCCCGCCCUUGGAAGAUCAACACGUCGCAGCCCGACCUAGGCUUAGCAGAGAGGUCCCCGCCGGUCUACAUCCUAAGCACUCCGGGGUCUUGGGCCCAUCGCCCGCAGCACUCCGGGUCAUUGCGCGCAGGGUGAAUACCAGCACCGCCUCGGAUGGCCAGCAUGAUCCGACCAUGCCGCACUACUAAACUGGACGUCUGACAAAGCUUCGGCUGAUACUGCGACGUCGAGGCCCAUAUCUAUUCUCGCGUGGUGGUUAGUGCGUAAAGGCCAAAGGCCAAUUCAGAACAAAUACCCAAACCAUAGUGUAUUACUCCCUCCGCUCCUUUAUAUAAGGUGUAUUUGUUUUUUGAAAAGUCAAAUGAGUGCAAGUUUGACCAAGUUUUUAGAAAAAUAUAUGAAUAUUCACAAUAUGAACUUUAUAUCAUUUGAUCGAUCAUAAAAGGUAGUUUCAUAUUUUAUCUAUUAGGUAUUACAGAUGUUUCUAUUUUGUUCUAUAAUCUUGGUCAAACUUUCAAAUGGUUGACUUGCACGGAAACCAAUACACAUUAUAUUCUGGAACGGAGGGAGUAUUAGCUUGCGGAGACGAGCAGAGACUCACAAUCGAAAGUGACCCCGUCGCCCCGUCUCGUGGACUUACGACAAGGGCCUAGAAUGCCCGGCCGUGCCACGUCAUUAUCUUGCGGGUGCUCUCCGGGCCCGCCCGACUUUCACCAAGGUCUCAAGUAAAGUCAUUGUAACUGUGUGUCCAGACAUCAAGGGGAAAACCUGAUGAAUCACCCCCAAUGGAUUCCACUCAAUGUAAUCAUCAAGGUGAACGUAAGAGGGACCACCCUCGAGGUUCACACUUGAGGUGUUGAACGACAGAGCCAUAUCGGGAAUGGUGAAAGAGGAAAUCACCCUUGAUGACCACGGCCGAAUAGCUACACUACAGAAUUAUCAUCAGGAGUGCGUUAUGAGGGAUCACCCUCGGCACUCGAUAGUAGCUCUGCAGAGUCGAGCAACUAAAGGGGCGUGAUGUGAUGUGAGGUGUCGGGCUCUGGUCGUCGAUCACGUCGAUCGAGGCGUCGAUGAUGAAGCAGGGGCAGCAAGGACAGUGAGGGUCACUGAUGGAUCACUAGCCAACCUAUACUAAGCAGUUUAGGAUAAGCAGAUAGGUAACAAUAAGCAGGUACAAAAGCAGGCUAUGCAUCAGAAUAGGAGCAAACAAUAACAGUAGCAAAAUCUAAUGCAAGCAUGAGAGUAUAGAAUGGACGANNNNNNNNNNNNNNNNNNNNNNNNNNNNNNNNNNNNNNNNNNNNNNNNNNNNNNNNNNNNNNNNNNNNNNNNNNNNNNNNNNNNNNNNNNNNNNNNNNNNNNNNNNNNNNNNNNNNNNNNNNNNNNNNNNNNNNNNNNNNNNNNNNNNNNNNNNNNNNNNNNNNNNNNNNNNNNNNNNNNNNNNGGGCUUGCCUGGUUGCUCAGACAAGAAGGGACGUCGUCGACGUAGUCGAUCACAGGG
rnacentral:lncRNA from 1 species